GGGGAAUUUUUUGUUUGCUUUUUUCAUUUUACUGCUCUUAUUCUUCUACAUCAUACAAGACUAAAACCUUGCUAUGAGUGAAAAUAUGGAGCUGAAAGCCUUUUUUUCGUAUGCACAGAGUGAGAGUUCCACUGUGCAGACUCGCAUCUCUCUUCGCCUGUAUGAAGAUGCAGCAGGGCCAAAGCACAACUGUCACCCCUUGAACUCUCAAGCUGGCAGUACAAAAUAGGUUUUCUUCUACACUCAGUGAAUUUGGGGUUUCUAUGUAUAUAUUUCUAUCUUUUUACUUCUCAGUAAAUAUGGAUGGUCUCAGACGAAUAGAGAAAUAAGGCAAUAAAAUAUCUGGUUUGCUGUCCUAAAUUUCAUCUAUGUAUAAUUUUAAGGCCUUUGCUACAUUUCUUACUCCCAUUUAUUCCCCUCACUCUCAUCAGUAGGUGUGGAUAGCAGGUUUACCUACUGACUUGCCAUUGUAUUUGUUCAACAGCUCUAACUCAAUGACAUCAUUUAUUAGAAAGAUAAAUGAGAGCAAUUAAGCAUCAUGGCCAUAACUGGUGAAACUUUCUGCAAAGAGAGCAUUAUUAAAAUGACAGAGUGCUUGUCUGUGCCUGCCCAAGGUGUAUGAUUCAGCCUUUCUCCUUUGCCUGGUGGAGUGACCCCCAGCAGCACACCUCAUGUGCAUUGUUUCUAUAGGGCUAUAUAUAACCUCUCCUGUAAAAUAGCAAUGUCUAUUGAUUGAUGUCCGUUUAAUUUUUAAGAGCCAUCUUCCGCUAUAUUAUUUAGAGUUAAACAGGACAGCUAUUAAACAUUACACUUUAGUUCAUGUUUGUUAAACUACUCACUUGAAUAACCUCCUCAGAUGCUGAUAAAUGGCACCUUCACAAAGAAGAGCUGUUACUUUUUCACAUAAUAUACUGGUGUUUAAGGCUUCUUAUAGUACAUCACAUGCACAGCCUCACUCUGUCAUUCAAAACCCGAAUGACAUUUUAUUAAAACUGUGUUUCUUUUUAAUCCUAUCUGGCUAAUGUUUCCAAUAAUUUUUAAUACUGGGUUUGGAGGAAGGAGGAAAAUUGCCCUGAGGAGAGGAAACUCCAUUCUGCCAAACCAAACAACUAGGUUUCAAAAUAGGGCUUGUUUCCCUUAAAAAAUUCAGUUCUCUGAUUUGGGCAGAAAAGUGGCUGUAAAAGUGUAGAAAGAAACAAACAGCAGGAAAAAUAAGACCAUCAAAGGAAAAAAAGUAGGAGUAAUACAUGGAAAGAGAGGUAAAGAUGGUCAAAUACAGUCUGAAGAAGGAAAAAAAAAGCAAGAGAGAGAGAGGAACUAGAGAAGGUGCUCCAGACUUCCUCCAGUAUCACCAGGUUAUAGGGCUGAGCUGUAGGACAGCAGCCUUACCAGUUUGAGGCAUCCCUGCCUGCUCCUGCCUUCCUGCAGUAGGGAUGUGAUCUGCAACCCAGUGUCAGGAAACCCUAUCAUCUCUCAUGGGACAUGAUCCCGGCAUGGGAGCCCUGUAAGGCUUCUUGGGAGUCCUGGUCUGGCUGCAGACAUGCUAUAUAUGUACUGAGCAUAUAUAUGCAUUGAAAUGCAUACAGAUGAAGCAGCUGUGAUGGCAGAUCCUUGCCCUUUUUAGAUGUCAUAAAGUAAAUGUAUUGCACAGGCUGUGGUGUGGCUGGCAAGAAAAUGGAGACAAUAUCCCUCUACUCUUGGAUCCAAACACUUCAUUUUAUAGAGCAUAUGAUUUACCUGUGGUUUGUAUCCUUGUAGGCACUGCCCAGAGCACGGUGCCCAGAAGCCUGUUUCCAACAUGGUUCCAUUGCCAGGAAUGUCAGGAAGGUUGAAAUGGGAGCCAGGACCAGUGGGGUAGUGCAAGCUGAGGCCAGCUGCACCCUGGCCCCCAAGGGCUGUCUGGGAGAGGAAACCUGAAGCAAAGCAUCACUUAGAGGAAUCUCUUCCAGGUUAUCAUCAAAAACCAGUAUUAUGUGAAACAAGAGUCCUCAGUACAAGUUUGGAGUUUCCUGUUCAUCUUUUUCUUGAGGUCAAUAUCUGUGAAAAAUGUCAGAAACACAAACUUGGAUCUACAGUCUUUUUUAAGAGGUCUUUUUUUUUUUUGGCCUAGUGUAUUUACUCAAUGGACCCUUGUUACUGCAAUAAAAAUAAUAAAGAAGCUGAGGAACAGAA